GUCCACACCGUAACGAUGAUUACUAGGUGUUGGAGGAUUGACCCUUCAGUGCCGCAGUUAACACAAUAAGUAAUCCACCUGGGAGUACGACCGCAAGGUUGAACUCAAGGAAUUGACGGGCCCGCACAAGCAGUGGAGUAUGUGGUUUAAUUCGACGCAACGCGAAGACCUUACCAAGUCUUGACAUCCCUUGACGAUGCUGGAAACAGCAUUUUCCUUCGGAGCAAGGAGACAGGGUGGUGCAUGGUUGUCGU
rnacentral:rRNA from 1 species